ACUUUCUUAGUAUAACUAAUACAGAUGACUUCCAAUUAUCUAAUCUUGAUUAAUCUCAGGAGAAAGUA
rnacentral:tRNA from 1 species